UACGGAGGGUGCUAGCGUUGUUCGGAAUUACUGGGCGUAAAGGGCUCGUAGGCGGCCAACUAAGUCGGACGUGAAAUCCCCAGGCUCAACCUGGGAACUGCGUCCGAUACUGGAUGGCUUGAAUCCGGGAGAGGGAUGCAGAAUUCCAGGUGUAGCGGUGAAAUGCGUAGAUAUCUGGAGGAAUACCGGUGGCGAAGGCGGCAUCCUGGACCGGCAUUGACGCUGAGGAGCGAAAGCCAGGGGAGCAAACGGG
rnacentral:rRNA from 1 species